rnacentral:lncRNA from 1 species
CUAAAUGUUUUUUGUUGUCUUCUCCGCCGUUUGAGCUACUUUUCCUGGGAGAAUCCAUGAUGUCGGCGAUCUUCAACCUUCAAUUCGUGAUGCUUGUCCUCGGAUCAUUAACUCGUUGCCUAAGACCUCCAUGAUUCCUGCUAUUAAUAGCUCUCAAAAGUGAGUAUUUUACCUCAGUGAACUUCAUCUAUUUAGCUCCUUCUAUAAAUCUUUAACCUUCCGUCUCUUGUUUAUACUCUUUCUCAGCUGUAUUCUUCUGUAAAUGGGAUAGUACUUCUUUUUUGGCACUGAAAUGAGGGUUUUAGGUCCCUGAGUCAGAUUACAUAUCCAAGUAAGCCCUAGUUCCUAUUCUCUUUUGACUACUAUUUCUUGUAAAAUCCCCUUAUUUCGAACUUGUUGAUAGAUGUGGAAGAGAGGGAGAUAAGGGAUGAUCAAACCCACCAUUCUUGAAUUGUAUUCUGCUUCUCAGGUGUAUUGAUAAGAUCAAACUCACACAACCGUCCCUCAUUACUUGAAGUCCACUUUUGACGGCUGGCUCUGUAUAGUCUAGAUAGUUUUUGGUGUUUGUGAAUGCUUUCUUGGGUUUUAAAUAGGUACUUGCAAGCUGGUUUAGCUCUGUUAGCAAUGACUAUAGCCUUCAGCCUCUUCAUACUUUUUUUCAAUGACAGUCGAAUGUAUAGACAUUGUAGUUUAUCAUUAUUCAGGAUUUUCUUACCUUUGACUUGUAAUUGCUGAAAUGUUGUUAUGCUGAAUCCACCACUAUCAAUUGUUGUGUUUACUAGAUGAUCCACCAACUGAUUCCCUUCUCUUAAAAUGUGCUGAAAUUUUACUUGCUUAUCAUGAAGUAAUUAUGUGAUUUGUUCAACAUAAUCUACCAUAUUCCAUGGGAAAUCCCACUCUUUAGUUAAAAUCUUCAACAAAAUAAGAGAAUCUAUUUGAAAGAUUAACUUAUUAAGAUUGGACAAAUUACAAUGGAUUGCUGCUUGAAGCAUAGCAUAUGCUUCAGCCUCCAUGUUAAUAGUAUCUACAAUCUGUGCCCCCUGUGCAUAAGAACUGAUCCCUGGAUUCCCCCUAGAAGCUCCAUCUAUAUUGUACUUCAACCAAUCUUCUUCUGGAAAUUGCCACUCAACCUUUGUUAGCUUGAUUGUAGAUCUCUUUUGUUGUAAUUGCUAGUGAGUCUCUGGCCACAUAGAAGGGAAAACUUGUAUAGAAUUUCUCACUUUCAGUAGCAAACCAAUAUUCCUAUUAAUAUUGAAUAUUACUUUAUGAGUUGACAAAGAUUUCCCUUCAUGUUUUGCGUUGUUUCUUCUUCUCCACAACUCCCAUAAGAUAAUGCUAGGAACUGACUGAUAGUAUGCCUUAGUUUCUCCCUAUUUACCAUCAUUCCACCAGUAGGUAAUGAGUUCUCUUAGACCGGUUGCUUGCAUAUUGAUACAUGCACAAGAUGAAAAAUAGGACCAAGUCCUGUUAGCAGUGCCUGAUUUUAGAAACACAUGUGAAAUGGUUUCUUGAUCAGGCAGUGAACAACAGCAGCAUCUAAUAAGUCCUUCUACUCCCCGUCUUCUCAAAUUAUCAUCAACAGGAAUUUUUCCUUUCCGAAACCUCCACAUUAAAAAUGCCAUCUUAAAAGGUAAACCUUUCACCCAGAUGUUUUCUAUAAACUACAUUCCUCUUUUCCCUUUGUCUAAUAUAAUUCUAGGCUGACUUGACAGUGAAUCUACCAUUUGACUCCAACAUUCAUGUUGGACUGUCUACUCCCUAUGGAAUUCUGAUGGAUUCCAUGAUAUAAUCUGUAACUUCUUGUGAAAAAAGUUGAUACAUCAAUUAUGAAUUCUAACCUCCAUUCUGAAACAUGUCCUUCACCUGUUGAUAUUGAUUGUCCCAUUCUUUUGAAUUCUCCAAAAGUGUAUAAAAAUCUCCUUCCUUUGUCCAAUUAUCAAAUCACAUAUUUGAAUUUCCUUUCCUUAUUCUCCAGAAAAUUUGGUGCACCACCAAGUCUCUUGCCUGUAACAUCUUUUCCCAUACCUGAGAUCCAACACCAGUUUUCCACACUAUCUCAUUUGGGUGUUUAUUUCUGCAAUACUUAUUCUACAUAUAUCUUCUCCAAAUAGAAUCCUUGGUUCUAAAGUUCCACCAUAGCUUUCGAAACAAGGCCAUUGACACAUCUUUUAUGUUCCUGAACCCAGUCCUCUUUCUUCCUCAAGAUAACACAUCUUACUCUAUUUAACCCGAUGUCUACUCUUACCCCCUAUGUGUGUACUCCAGAAGAAUUGAGCAAACUUUCUUUGAAUUAUAUUGAGCAUAUUUAAAGGGGGAUUCAUGAUAGAUAAAAAAUGGAUUGGUAUACUCUGUAAGAUAUGCUUGAUUAGAACAGCUCUUCCCUCAUAAUAUAGAAGCUUCCCUUUCCAACCUUGCAAUUUUCCACUAAUUCUGCUCAUCAUAGCUUGAUAGUAAUCCUUCUUAUUUCUUAUAUGAAAUAUUGGACAACCCAGAUAUUUGGAAGGGAAUUCCUUUCUCAUAAUUCUAGUAACCACUUCAGCCAGUACCACAACUCCUUGAGAUACUCCCUUAUGUAAAUACAGGGAACUUUUCUCCUUAUUAACUUUUUGACCUAACACUUUUUCAUAUUUCUCUAGUGUAUUGGUCACUUUCUGCAUUGUUUGUAAAUCAGCUUUGCAUAAGAUUAUCAUGUCAUCAUCAAAGGCAAAGUGAUUUACUUUAGGACUCUCUCUAAAAAAUGCUCCUGUCAUACCAUCAGGUCCUCCUGCACUGUUUUUAUUCAAUCCCAUAACUGCCUCCUUGACUUCUUGAAUAUCUGGAAUCCUAUUCAUAUCUUUAUUCUGUUCAGCAGUCACUACAGUAGGUAAUUCAUUUAGCAUGUCAAAGUCAACUAUCUCUUUUUGUUUAGUAAACUGUCUCUGAAAGAACUGAACAGCUUCCUCAGCUAUGUCUGUCUGAUUUUCCAAACAUUCCCCAUCAUAAUUCCAAAUUCUUGUAAUAUUCAGUCUACUACUUUUUUAUUUCACAACAACAUGGAAAAAUUUAGUGUUUCUUUCCCCAUCUUUAAACCAUUCCAAACCUGCCUUCUACCUCCAAGAAUCCUCUUCUCUCUUCAAUUGUAUGUUUAAUUCAGCUUAUGCUAUAAAUAACAUCUAUCUAUUAUUGGCUGAAGGAUUUUCCUCAAAUUAUUUUUUCUAACUCUGAUGAUCUUCUCCAAUGUUGCUAUUUCCUGAAAGAUAUUACCAAAGUAUUCCCUACUCAUUGUGUCAGUAUACUUUUAACCCUUUUUAACUUAUGAUGAAACACAAUAAAAGGAUUACCCAUUACUUUAGUUACCCAAUUUUUCUUUAUUACUUCAUAACAUGCUUGUUCUUUUAGCCACAUAUUUAGAAACCUGAAAGGUUUUUGAACAUUUUCCUCCACUGUAUUAAAGUGAAUCUUCAGAGGAGUGUGAUCAGAUCCACUUCUAAACAGGUGUUCCACUUUAAGAACUAGAAAGAGGUCCUAUAUUUUAUCAUUACAAAGCACUCUAUCCUAUCUUUUGAAUAUACAUUCCUUCAUCUGUCCUUCCAUUCCACCAGGUAUAUUUACUUCCUUUGAAACCUGGGUCCUCCAUACCACAUAAAUUAAUGCAAUGCUUGAAGUCUUCUGUCUCAGCCACUGUGACUAUUAGUCAUCCUAAUUUCUCCUCUUCACUAAAAAUUACUUGAAAAUCUUCCCCUAUCAUCUAUGGAUGUUGCAUUGUCUGAGCUAUUCUACAAGUGAUUCCCAUAAACAUAACCUCUCCUGUUGAGUGCAUUUAGUAUACACCAAAUACCUAUUUCUUAACUGGCCAAUUGAAUGGUGAGUUGUUGCUCCUCAUCCUUUAUUAUAACAAUUUCAAUAAAAUCCUCAGUAAAUACCCAUAUUUUUCCAGAAUAAUUUGCAGCUGCAUUCUUCAUGUUCAAUCUCUUUCUACAUUAAUCAAUUGUGUUAUUUUACUGAAAAGGUUUCAUUAAGCCUAUGAAUGUGAAGCGAUAUCUUUUUUGCAAAGUGAUGAGCCUAGUAAAUGCUUUUUAAGCGUUCACUAAUUUGAUAUUCCAUAUUAGAGCAUUUAUCUGGACUUAUUUUUGACUGAAUUCCUUGUCUGCAUUGAGGAAGUUUUAACUUCCUUAUCUUUCUUCUUCUACACACCCUGAUUUGAUUUCAUCUUCUCUAUCUGCCUUGGGGAUAAAUUACCUUCUACUUCUAUCUGCUCUAUGGUUUUUGUUAAGUCUCCUCCAUCCAAGUCUGCAUUAUCCUCAUUACUGAACUCCUCCUGAUUUUCCACCUGAAUUGCUAAAGGUAAUAUGUUUUCAAUUACCAUAUUUUCUUCUGCUGUAUUAUGAUGCUAAACAAUUGCCAACUGUGUGCUUUCAUUCUGUUCCCCUGUAACUUUUGGUUCAUGUAAAUUCUCCACUUCUGUCAAAUUUGCAUUAUACACUUGAUUCAUUGGCGCUAAUGUAUUUAUUUGUUGAACAUCUUUUCUUCUUUCCUUCUUCUCUGAUGCCUGGUUGUGAUCUUCCCCUUUGUUUAUAUGUUCUCCCUCUAUCUCUUUGUUAGAGUCAGUUGUCCCAAAACUAUUAUUAACCAAAUCUUUUGUCUUUCUUUCGGUAACUUCUGCUACUCUGCACUCUUGUCUAUGCCCAUCUCCUUGUCAUUGUCUUGUUCUUCCUUGCUUGUUAAAGUUUCAAAAGUAUUAGACACUGGGACUUCUUUCUGCAUUUUUUAUUCCACUUCCUAAUUAUAUGGCCAUAUUUAUCUUUCUUAUAUCUGCUUCUCCGUGUAUGCCAUUGUCGAUUGUAAUUAUUUCCCCCUUGUUGCAUAUUAUCUCUUUCUUGUUGGUCUUUCCCCCUCCCCCCUUCCAAUUGUUGCUUCAAUUGUCUCCUUUGUUCCCCUCUUUUCUCUCCAUUUAGCUCUGGAUGUUUAUUCCAACAUUGAUUAUCAUGAUGUCCCUAUAAUUUGCAUUCCUUACAAUAUUUUGGCAUGUAAUCAUAAUGUAUUUGAAUCUAUUUUGACCUUUAUUACCUCUGUGUCAUCCUCCUCCUUAUUAAUCCUUACUCUUUGAGGCAAUUCAGCUAUCAUAUCUACUUUGAGAUGUUUGAAAGUGAUUUAAUAAGUCAUUGAAUUAUUGAUCUUUAAUAAAGUUAAGUUUAGUCAUGGUCAACCUUUGAUCGAAACUCGAAUUAGUGUCAUAAUAUUUUCAAUGAGGUCGGAAUGUACUUUUUAAUCAAUGUACGUAGUUUAUUUGUUUCCUCAAGGUUCCAAAUAAUAUCUGAGGAUCUAUUGGGUAUUUUAGAUAUUAUUUUAGUUAGGGUUAAUAGGCCAAAUCAAUUUUUCUUAAUUCUUAAGACCUAUCUAUAAGAAUAGAUUUAAAUAGAAAGGAUUUAAAAAUAAAAUAAAAAAUAAUAACACCAAAAAUAUCGAGUAAUGGGGAAACAAAGUUGAAUCAGUAUUAUUUUCUUUCAAACCCGCGUCUUCAUGGAGAGUAAGGAUUGCUCUUAAGGCUAGUUAUGAUUUUCUAUCAAAUUGUUGUUACUGUCUUUGUGCCUUUGUGGGUUUAAAAAUAGGUUUAAUUGUUGGGUAUGUGUGCGCACAUAAUGACAAGAAUCAAAAGAAUGGGGCAGUCAAUGCGCACAUAAUGACAAGAAUCAAAAGAAUGGGGCAGUCAUUGGAUAAUGAUUGAGGCUAAUAUUAAGUAAUUUAUGGAAUUAUAUUUAUGGAAAUGGGCAGUGAUGGUUUGCAUGUUAAUAGUUAGGCCGAAAGUUAUUAUUUUAGGUGAAUUUAAUAGUUAGACUAUAUAACUACAAUACAAAAAAAUUGUUAAAUUGUGUUGGUUUUUUUUUUCAAUUUGUGAUGGUUUUUUACCGCAGUAAAAAGAAUUGCGGCAGUUUCAGAAAGUGCCACAGUAAACCUUGCCACGAGCAUGGCAGUUUUGCGAAACCUUCAUGACGUUCGCCGUAAAAUAAAUUUUAAAUUUGUGGGAAUUUUUUAAGUUAAUAAGUGACAGGUUAGAACACUCACAAUAUGAUAUUAAUGUUUCAAAAAAAAAUUGUGGGAGUUUAUAACCCCCUGCAAUAUUAUCACAAUAUCACAAAAAAAUAUUGUGGUAUUCUAUAAAUCCCACAAUAAAAUAUUAGUUAUUUUUGAAAAAAAAUUAUGUGGGGGUUUACAACCGCUACAAUAUAAUAUUAAUGCUUAAAAAUAUUAUAAUUAAUGGUAGUUUAAUUCCGCCACAAUAUUUUUAUUGCUUACUUUCUAUUUGAAUCUUACAAUAGGAAUGAAUAAAUUAAAAGAAUAAUUAGUCGCAGUUUGCAAUAUUUGGGAUAAGUGAUGCAUUCAAGAAUGCUACUUCUUGCUCCAGUAUUGCAAGAAGUAACAUUUUUUAUUGCAUCACUUAUACCAAAUGUAUUUCCUGUUCUGCAAAUAAGACACUUGUAGCUAAAUCGUGGAAUUCACUAAUUACAUGGAUCCUCUAUUUUGAACUUGUUUACAACUACUCAAGAUAUAUGCAUAUUUCAUAGAAAAUAUAUGGUAUCACAGAUAAUACAUCCUGACAGCAUGCUUUGGUGCAAACUUCAAGACCUGCCCACAAUUCUCUGAAGUUUUUUUUUAAAAAUAUAAAAUAACUCGAAUUUGAAAUUAAUGUGGUAAAAGCACGUAAAGACUAUUGAUAUCUGUUGCUUGAAUUCUUCAUAACAGCAUACGAGUGCAUGUCAAAUCCCCCAUAAGUACUAUCUUUUUGAAGGAUCCGACACGAGUACGAUAAUAUUUAGGGGAGUCUGAUCAAUAUAGCUAUUGAUCAAUUAAGCACCAUAGCUCUCAUAGUACCUUCAUGUCUACUGGGAAUAGAACUACUUGUAGGCAAACUCGCAAAAGAAUGAAAUGAAGCUAAAUUGUCAAAAUCAUCUACUACUUAUGAUAGGCCACCAGUAGACCUAAAAAUGAAGCUAUUUGUAAUAUCUCUUCAGUAAUUCUACAGGAAAAUAAUAUUUAAAUGCUUAUUAGUCACAUCUAUAGGCGUCACUUGGAUUGAUGGGCUAAUUGGUUCCUGUCCGAAUCAGUAAAACUGGCCUGCAACAACCUGCUAAAAUACGAAGAGGCUAAAUUAUUUAUCUAUUGAUCUUACAUACAUCACCAAUUUUCAUUGGCGUGUUAUUUUCCAAUCAUUUUUAAGUAUCUCUUGGGACUGUCUUUGGGAUUUGGAUUGACAUUAAGGAUCACUUGUAAAUAUUUAUGCUGAUAUAUAGCUAUGUUGUUUAAGUCGCUUUGUCAAACAAACUUUUUCACUAGGUAUUUGCACCAGCAUAAGCAUUGGAUAGGUAAGGUCUAACAUCUUUACAAUCAAGUUAUGUUUUCUUUGUGAAGUAGGCUGAAUGACAGCCUAAGAAAUAGGGUCUUAGAUGUUCCAAUGAUAAGGAAAAACAUACUACGUGCAGUUAACUUUCAAAGAACACAUCUUUCCAAUGAUACAAAAAACAUACUACGUGUAGUUAAAUAUCAAAGAACACAUCUAUGCUCAGAUAGCUCACUAGCACACAUCUUAGGACAUGCUGAGACCAAGUCACUAAGGAACUAUUUGACAUUCAAAUAAUUACAAGAAAACAAACAUAACAACUUUAACUUUUGGAUAGCUUGCUGCCAGACACAGAUUUAAGAACAUAUCCAAGAACAUGUAUCGCAGUUUUGCCAUUACCUUGAUUUAAAAAACAAUUACAAGAGCAUGUAUUACCAUUAAUUAUGAAAGAUAACUACUCUGUAUUCCAAGUUACGUGAAAGGAUUCGUCAUUAUUUAUCUAUAAUAUUUGACUCACUUCUGUAAUUAACAUUAUCCUGUACAACUUUCACUUCUGCCAAGUAAAUAAAUUGAAACGGGGUUGCGGUCUUUUCUCAAAUGCACUUCAACUACUACUUUAAUAUAUUCUUUCACUUUUACCAUUAAAAUAAUAAUAAUAAUAAUAAUAAUAAUAAUAAGCACGUCUCAUUAGCUUAUUCAACAGCAUGCCCUGUCAAACUUGUCAAAUGAGGCGGGUUGACAGUAGAGCUGAUAAAGAUAAGGGGCGAUAUUCCUUGUUCUAGAAGCCAAAAAAAUUCUUAUAUUGCUUUGAGUAGCUUAUCAGAAUCAUCAAUGAAAAAAAAAAGUUGAAUUUCCACAUUUCAGAGCCAUAAAAGAAAUAUUUUCUUUCCUUUUAAUGAUGAACUCAAAUGUUGCGUGCAGACAAAAAGAAAAGGUACUAGUAUCUCUAUACCAUAAAAAAGACAUACCUACACCAAGUUUUUGGCUCCCUCAUCACAUUUCCUGCAAAGAACAUCGCUGAUUUGUCACCAUGGUAACCCUGCAUAACCAAUCAAGCCAAGCAGAGAAACAGAGAGAAAAUUGAGUUUCAAGAGUCAUGUACUGCAUUAUUAAGCCACUUAUGAUUAAUUAAAUAUCAGGUGAGACACAGAAGAGGAAGCUAAGAAGAUAUUGCACCAUGAAAAACUCAUCCUCCAUACAAUAUGAUGUCAUCAAUGUCCUAAAGGAAACAAAGCUGGCUUUUUUAACAGAAGGAAAUAUAAUACAUCUUUCUGAUUUUCUUAAUAAUUUUGCAACAACAAAAACAACAUACUCAGUGUAGUCCCACCAAGUGAGGUUUGAGAAGGGUGAGUGUAUAUUGACCUUACCUCUACCUCAUGUUGAGGUAGAGAGGCUAUUUUCGUUGCUUAAUCAUUUUGCAAGGGUAAAAAUUCUUUAUAAAUUGUUUCAUAAAACAUUUACAACUUUAUAAAUUGAAGAAAAGGCUUCCCAAAUUUCUCUACUUACAAAGUGACUACCUUACACCACCAAGAAAAGCCUACAACCAUACCAUCUUGUACUACCCAUCACUAAAAUCCCAACUGAUCACACUUCUAUCAACGCCCUAUCUACAAACAUCUAUUGAAUAUCCUCACCUUUGGCGACCUCUACUAAAAAGAUACUCUAGAGACCUCGGCCCUCCGAUCCCCCUACAAUAUAAUGAUUAAACAUCCAUCACCAUGACCACAAGCAUCCUUUCUACCCACGUAUGUACUAUGGGAAGAAACUGGUGUUUUGAGACUCAAGUAGGAGAUAGUAUUGGAGAGUAUAAGGGCACUGGAUACAGGGAAGAAGAUGCUUGAAGGUGGCAACAAGGAGUUGGAAAAAUUAUUAUCUAUGAUAUAGGAUCAUGGUGUAAAAGCUAUCGUUUUUUAAUAAUAGCAUAAGAGGGAGCAAGAAACCAAUAUAACCCAAAUUCAUUUAAAAGAUUACAAGUGUUAGAAUAUGAGCGGGAAUAGGAAUAGCAUAUAGCAUUCUACUUGAAAAAAAGCAUUGAAAUAUAAUAUCCUAUUUGGAAAAGGAUUAGAAUGUAGUGUCUAGAAAUAGGGUCUCAUAAUGUUAGUUACAACAAUUCAAUAAUAUUCUUCACCAAUAUUUCUCACAAGUACCAAUAGUUAGAAAUAUAGUGAUUUAAAUCCCAAUCAGCAGACAGGUAAAUCAACACUAGCAGAUUACAUAAAAGAUAGUAUUAGUGAUGCAAAAUACCCUAGUUCUCAAGAAUGAGGAUGAGGACAUCUUGAAAAAACAUGAGGACCCAAAAAAUUACAUCAUAUUUAUAGCUACAAGAAGGCAUCUCAUACCAUUUUCUCUCUAUUGAUUCAUAACAAAACAUUGGCUUAAACGUAAAAGUUGAAGCAAUUAAGUGACACAUAAUGGUACUAAUUAACUACAACAAACAACUAAGAUUAAGAUAAACGGUGACAUCAAUAUUAACAAUAUCCCCAUCUUGAAUCAUUAAAUAUCACAAAGCAUAAGAAUGUUAGCCUAUUGCAACGUUAAAUUCUUGGUUAUAAAGAAAAUAACUAUUCAGUAGAACAAACCUCAAGUGGACGUUAAUCUGGGAUUCCGUGGAAAAUGCACUCGUUAACUUAUGUGCAUACGCUCUUCGAAAAUCCACCAUAAUUAAGAGGUGAUGGAUAAAAAGUCCAAUCAAAAAAUAGAACGAAUUAAAAUCUUCUUCGGGGCGUGGGGGGGGGGGGGGGACAAAGAUUAUUUCAGCUUCAAUUGAAUUAGAAAAAUCAAAGGCGAAGGAAAAGGAAAAGAAAAAUCGUGCCCUUUGGAGAAGGAAAAGGAGAGGGAAGAGGGAAAUUUUGCCGCACAUAAUUUUUAGUCUAAUUUACUAAUUACCCUCCUAAUGAAUAUUAAAAUCUAGAAAGAUGGUGUACACUUCUGUCUUUUACGACAUCUUAAUUCUUUUUCCUAUUUUUCUCGUUUAUUUUAUUAUGUAAAUAAAGAUUUUUUUUUAAAAUGGAACUAACUUAUUAAUAAAAAUAUUGUUUCUUAAGCAUAAUCAAUAUAUCUAUAUCUAUAAUCUAUAAUCUAUAAUCUAUAAUCUAUAANNNNNNNNNNNNNNNNNNNNNNNNNNNNNNNNNNNNNNNNNNNNNNNNNNNNNNNNNNNNNNNNNNNNNNNNNNNNNNNNNNNNNNNNNNNNNNNNNNNNNNNNNNNNNNNNNNNNNNNNNNNNNNNNNNNNNNNNNNNNNNNNNNNNNNNNNNNNNNNNNNNNNNACAUCAUUAAUUUAUUAUAUAAUUAUAUUUAUAAUAUUAAUUCCUAAAAUAUAUAAAACUAAGGAUUCUUAAAAUAUAUGAUAAAAUAAAAUAUAAUAUUUAUAAACUACUAAAUAUAGGUAAUCCCCCCUCCCCCUUCCUCAUAUUUCACGUAAACAAUUAUGAUCCGAAAAGAAAAAAACAUAAAAACUACCCUAAAUAAUUUGUUUAGUUAAACACAUAAUAUAUUACCUUAAAUAAUUUAAUAGCAUGAUUAAUUGUUGUUUUUUCCAAAAGAAAAAUAACCUUUUUUCAUAUUUAAAGAAUCCUUUUCUUAGAAGAAAAGUAUUUGAACCUCUAUAAAUUGAUUAUUAUUCCUUUCACAUCAAUGUAGAGAUAUUAUUCUCUCAAUAUUAUAGUUUUCUUUAUAUCAGUCAUAUGUAGAUUUAAUUUAUUACAAAUUAUGUUUUUAUAAUUUCUCUAUGUUAUCAUCAUUCAAGAAUUCUUUGUUUAUUCGUAAUAUAAAGAAAAAUUAAAUAAUAAAUAUUCGUAUUAUUCUUCAUCUUUCUUUUUUUUUCUAUUUGUGCUGUAGGAAUAUGCAGUUUCUCAACAGUUUAUAAUCAGGUAUUUCAGUUAUAUUUUCUAUAAAUUUUGUACUGUUAGGCUAUAACUUUAUGAUUUUUUUUAUGAUUAAUAAUUAAAGAAUCCUAAAAUAUAUGAUGAAUAAAUUUAUCCUUUUUAUCGUCGUUCAAAUUUUUUUUGUUUCUUGAUGAUGUAAAUAAAAAUUAAAGAAUAAAUAUUUAUAUUAUUCUUCAUCUUUCUCGAUUUUUCUAUUGAUAGUAUAUGCCUUUUUUCUUCUUUUUUUUUUCUAUUUGUGUUGCAAGAAUAUGUAAUUUCUUAAAGGUUUAUAUCCAAAUAUUUUUCAGUUAUAUUUUCUGUAAUUUUUGUAUGUUAGACUAUGACUCUAUGAUUUUCUUUAUAAUUAAUAAUUAAAGAAUCCUAAAAUACAUGUUAGUAGGAAAUUAAUAACUUUAGCUCAACAAAAUAAAAUUAUUAUCUUAAUAAUUUUUUUAUGCACAGAAAAAAGAUAUUACUAAUUCCAUAAUGCAUAUUGUAAAAUUAAUUAUAGUAGAACACACAAAUUAAAAAAAAAAAAGUAACAUAGAGAAAGUCUUAAAUAGUAAAAGUCUUAAAUACAAUGUUUAUUUACCAAAAAAAAGUUGUAUUAUAGUUACUUUAAAAUAUUUAGUCACGUCAAUAGAUUAGAAUUAAGUAUUCAAAUUUAUUUGAAAUAAUAUGUUAAAUAAUUUAUGAAAGAAAAAUAAAAAAUUUCAUAGUUUGGUGAUUUUUUUUGAAGAAAAAGUAUUUGAAUUUGAAUUUUUAUAAAUUAAGAAUCAUUCCUUUUUGCAACAAUAUGGCAGGAAACAAAAAUAGGUUAAAAUAAUUUUGAGAAAUUACUUCUUGAAGAAUAACGAAGGAGAAAAGAUGUGGUGAUGAGUUAUUAUAUUUUCCUUUAUGUAUAGUUUUUAUUUUAAAAGUUUUAUGCUAUUUUUAUAAAAAGUUGUUUACAUAAUACUCUAACAUACACAAAUAAUUUAUUCUUUUAUAAAAAUUUAUUAUUAAUUUAAGCGAGACACACGUGCAAAGCACGUAUGUUUGACUAGUAUUCUCUAAAACUAUGGAAACCAAUGAAAAAGAUAUCCAAACAAAUAAUAGCGUAAAAUAAAGAACAAACUAACAAAACUUGUUAAAAUAAUUCUUUUGAUAUUUAAGUUGCAAAAUAUCAUAAAUUAGAUAAAAUUAUAAAAUUUUAAAAUUAUUAAUUAUUUAAUCUAAAAUAUGAUUAUUAGGUCUGUAAGUCAAAUUUAUGUGAAUGAGGUUACAAGCAAUAUAAUUAAUUCAAAUGAGUUAAUUAUUUUUUGAUAAUAUAAAUGAACGAUAACACAAUAACUAAAUGUGUGAUAAUUAAGUAAAUAAUUAUCAAAAUAAUACAUACACACAUAAAGAUUAUCUUGUUGGUUCUCCUAGAUUGGGUGAUGAAGAUUGUUGAGGAGCAUAGAUGAAAAAUUAGAUAGUACAAUUGUGGAAAAAUGGGGACUUUAUAGGAUAUUUAAAAAUUAAUUCUUUUUGAAACUCCACUUAUUUUAAUCGUACAUGACUAAAUAGAUCGUGAGAGUUCAUGACAUUAUGUAAUAAAGAAGACUUACUUGGGAUUUCAAAACAUGGUUGUUAUCUAAGUUACCCCACGCCACACCCCACACCCUUCCCUAGUUCUUUUUUAGAUAGAUAGUUUUAGAUAUCUGAAAUUAGAGUUAAGAAGGCACAUCUGAUUAUUAACUCUCGAAAAAAUUAAUUAUUCGUAGAUUAAUUGACAUUAAUCAAUUCAACAUUUCACUCUGAUCACUUUCAUCAAGUUUUCAGAUAUGUUAGAUCUAUUUAAAAGUGUACUUAAAAGGUUAGGUAAAUCAAACAAUGUCCAUAUUGACAUAAAAAUACUCGAAUCAAAGAGUAAGAGUCGAGCUCCAAGGUAUAAAUCAAAAAUUCAUUGUAAAGAUGAGCUACUUAUCCACCAAUUGGAUCAAGAAGAUCCUCCGAUAAAUGAUGGACAAGAGCGAGUGUCAAUUAGUAUUCAUUACUGGGAUUCAAGCUAUGUUUUUUUUUGCAAUUAAAACUCUAACUGGAAUCUCGAUGUAAUUUUUGGGAUACCUAUGUUUCAGAUAUUGAAUAUUUUACUCAAUUAGUCCUUUCAAAUGUUAAAAAAUUAUUAUGAAUCACGGUUGAUUUCAAAAAGGUGUAAAAUAGGAUCUAAAAUUUGGUAUCACAAAAUUGUUAAUUGCUUAUGGUGAAACUGCCAAAUUAUUAUCUUAUACAAUCAUAAUAGAUUAUAUAAAAGAAAAAAUUACAUGGAAUAGAAAAUAAGUCAUAGUUACAAGACGUCGCUAAUCUUUAAAAUAAUUACCACUUGCAAUUAAGAAUUGAAUUAAGUAGCUAAAUAUAUAUUUAUGUUGUACUUGUACAUUUGUAUAUCUCGGGGCUCAUAUAUCAAUCUCUAAUUUUUUCUUUUGGGGUGAGGUGGGGGUGGGGGGUGUGACAGAGGGCUUUCUCUAGUUUCUGGGCUUAUAUACAAAUCUCUAAAAAUUUAUAUUUGCAUACAAAGUAAAUUUUGGGGAUCAUUCAAAUCUCUAAGUGAAUUUGUAUUCGUAUAUAUGUAAUACAAUCUCUAAUUUGAAAAUUUAGCUAAUAAGUAUAGUUAUAUCUUGUAAUAGGCAAACUUUUGCUAUGUCGCCUCAUAUUUCGCCUAAAUAUUAGCUAUGUCUGAAAUUUUUUCUAUAUAAAACGUGCAUUUUAUGGCGAUUUGAAAUUAUAUAAGCCAUUAUCAAGCAAACACAUUUUAUUGUGAGUUUUUUGAAAAUGUCUAUUAGUACUAAUAGCGAAAUAAAUUGUGAUGGCAUCGAAACACAUCAUUUAAGCUCAUUAUAAUGAUUAUAAAUGACUUGUUUACUUAAAAUAAAUCAUGGAGAUCGUUCGUUAUAGUGCAACUAUAAAAAUGUGCAUAAGAAAAUUGCCAAAAAUGGAAUAAUUUUAAGGAGGUUGAAGCACACGUCACAAAUUCAAUCUAUAGUGGAGGGUUUUUACAACCUCCAUAAUUAAACUGCCACAAAAAAAAUUAUUUUGCGGCAGUUGACACAAAUGCCACAAAUUGAAUGUGUAGUGGGGGUUUCUUAUGACCCCUAUAAAUAAACCGCCAUAAUUUAACAGUUUUUUUGUAGUGUUAGUGUAAAUUAAUAAUAAUCAUGAGGUAAUGAUGGUUAAAUGUGGUAGAGUGAGCUAAUCAUUAACAUUAAUAAUAUAAUUUGUAUAUUCCAUGUUCACCAUGAAUUCAAUGAUUUUGAUUUUUAAGAGUUAAAAAAAUUGAGUUUUAAGUCUAGAUUCUUAGAGUGAGAAUUAUAAUUUUGGAGAUCGAAUAAUGUAGUUUUAGUUGAAAUAUGAUAUUUUCGUCUGUAUCCUUAUGGACAUUUUGUAUUUAAAUAGACUUUGACUAUUCAGAAGUUCUACGAAAGGGCAAGUUGAUAAACUAACGCUUGGGCUUCGAUUU